CCUUAAUACAAACAGUGUCCAUUGCAGACCCACUUAAAGCAGAGAAAACACUGCCAGCUUCGUUUAGAAGCAGGCCUCUACCAAACUGGAUGUAUUUUUGAACGACAUGCCUUCAGCGCUCCAGGAUCUGCUGGAAAUACCAGUAAAGAGAUUAAAAGCUUUCGAUACUGUAGUAACCACAAAACUAAAAACUGAACAGCUAGAUGAGAAACAAAGGAGAGGAUGAGAUGUAAUGUGAGACACGAAAAGCCAGGUUUCUUCAGCAAGUGCUACAUAGGUGCAUUUGGGGUCCAUAACCUCAGGAAUCUUCUGACUUUGCACGAGCUCCAGCUUAGAGGACAAUAAUAAGGUGGAAGGACAUGAGGACGACGCAGUGGCAACGUGACAAGGGCGAGACAACAAUCGGAGGGCGGCGGGACUACAAUGGCAGAAUGGCAGUGUGACAAUGGGGGAACGGCAUGAGAACGGCGCAUCAAACAGCCCCAGGAAGGUUGGAUUUCCAGCGCGGAGCUGCGACUCUGCGGCUGAUCCUGUUUCCAGUAUCCCUUCACAGGGUCACCCACAUGACUCACAAAUUAAACUUUUAUCCUGCAGCAAUUAAUAUCGUCUGAGGCUGCGGUUUCAAAUUAAGCUGGCAGGUAUUCAGCUAAAUAUUUAAUACUCGAAUGAAACA